AUUGAACGCUGGCGGCAGGCUUUACACAUGCAAGUCGAGCGGGGUGAUGGUGCUUGCACUAUCACUUAGCGGCGGACGGGUGAGUAAUGCUUAGGAAUCUGCCUAUUAGUGGGGGACAACAUCUCGAAAGGGAUGCUGAUACCGCAUACGUCCUACGGGAGAAAGCAGGGGAUCACUUGUGACCUUGCGCUAAUAGAUGAGCCUAAGUCGGGUUAGCUAGUUGGUGGGGUAAAGGCCUACCAAGGCGACGAUCUGUAGCGGGUCUGAGAGGAUGAUCCGCCACACUGGGACUGAGACACGGCCCAGACUCCUACGGGAGGCAGCAGUGGGGAAUAUUGGACAAUGGGGGGAACCCUGAUCCAGCCAUGCCGCGUGUGUGAAGAAGGCCUUAUGGUUGUAAAGCACUUUAAGCGAGGAGGAGGCUCUUUUGGUUAAUACCCAAGAUGAGUGGACGUUACUCGCAGAAUAAGCACCGGCUAACUCUGUGCCAGCAGCCGCCGCGG
rnacentral:rRNA from 1 species